CUCUCCCUGUCUGCCGAGCACAACCUCAGGGUGACAACACACAUUUUUCUAAUUGCAGCAGCACAGCGAAAGCAGGAACAAUAAGCGAAGAAUGAAAGGUCAGCAGCAUAAAGUGACGUUAACCCCUCAUCUGACAUGGAGUUCCAGCAGCCAAGGGGUUAACACCACCAAUGUGCCAUUGAAACAAGUCGACAUUGCCAUAGGAGAGGUGGUUUCAUAGUAAGCAUUUUACUUAUUUACCGCAAUAUAGGACGUAUCUAUUUUACACACUUGGG